rnacentral:rRNA from 2 species
CNNNNNNUGCANGUCGAGCGGACUUUAAAAGCUUGCUUUUAAAGUUAGCGGCGGACGGGUGAGUAACACGUGGGCAACCUGCCUGUAAGACUGGGAUAACUUCGGGAAACCGGAGCUAAUACCGGAUAAUCCUUUUCNACUCAUGUNGAAAAGCUGAAAGACGGUUUNCGCUGUCACUUACAGAUGGGCCCGCGGCGCAUUAGCUAGUUGGUGAGGUAACGGCUCACCAAGGCAACGAUGCGUAGCCGACCUGAGAGGGUGAUCGGCCACACUGGGACUGANACACGGCCCAGACUCCUACGGGAGGCAGCAGUAGGGAAUCUUCCGCAAUGGACGAAAGUCUGACGGAGCAACGCCGCGUGAGUGAUGAAGGUUUUCGGAUCGUAAAACUCUGUUGUUAGGGAAGAACAAGUACAAGAGUAACUGCUUGUACCUUGACGGUACCUAACCAGAAAGCCACGGCUAACUACGUGCCAGCAGCCGCGGUAAUACGUAGGUGGCAAGCGUUGUCCGGAAUUAUUGGGCGUAAAGCGCGCGCAGGCGGUCCUUUAAGUCUGAUGUGAAAGCCCACGGCUCAACCGUGGAGGGUCAUUGGAAACUGGGGGACUUGAGUGCAGAAGAGAAGAGUGGAAUUCCACGUGUAGCGGUGAAAUGCGUAGAGAUGUGGAGGAACACCAGUGGCGAANGNGACUCUUUGGUCUGUAACUGACGCUGA